AGUUGGAUCCAGGGCCCCGUCAAUAUACUAUUCAAGGGCUAUACUGCUGAGCCAGCUGUUUUGAAGAGGUGAACAACCCUGGACCCUUCAGAUGUUUACAACCAGCGACUGUUGCCUGCAAAGAUUUUCUAUCCAGAUGAGC